AGCAUGCAGGAUGCUGUGUAUUGUGCUAUAUUAAGGCAUGCAUUUGGGACUCCAUUUUCCAACACGGUGACUCUUAUAGAUGUUUUCAUCUGCAAGACACUACAGCGAAUGAUCUGUUUUGUACAGAAUAUGAGGGUUGCAGGCUUGGAAGAUUUCUUUAUGAGACACUGAAGAUGACCUACUACUGGAAGGCAGCUUAUCGAGUGAUGAAUAAAAAAAUAUAUGAGCCGGAAUGUGGUAAUAAGCCGGGAUUUGCUGUAUACUUCAGAUAUCAAAAUAGUCAAUGUGUAUCUUAUCCUCAGUUCUCUAAAGGUGAUAUGGCAAUUCGUAGGAGUUCCUAGGGGUGAUUUGUAGUAUAAAAGCACAAUCUGGCGCACAAGUAUAUAAAUUCAGCAUGGUUUCAUGGACCCUAGUAUCUAUUACUGUCAUCUGCUACUUUGUUCUUUAUAUUUUAUUCACGCCACCUGAAUUAACAGAGAAAAUCAUAAGUGAAGGUUCAUUGAAAAUGAAGUGGAAGAAUUACCAAGGUGCUUAAUCAAUGUAUGGAAUCGAAAGAAUACAUGGAAAUCAGAAAUGCCCUUAUUGUGCUCAGAAAGAUUACUAGUAUAUUUCCUGUGAUUCGAAAAAGUGGUAUCAACCUCGAGAAAAGGGUAAAUACAUCAUUACUCACCAUUUAUGAUAUGCUGCUGGCCUAAAGGGGAACAAGAGGGAUGAUCUGAAAGUACUGACAAUUGGUGUACCUGCUGCUCUCAAGGAAAUUAAUCUGCAGAUCUCUUAGCAGCAAAAGAUCAUAGCGUUCAUGCAAAAUCUACAGAGGGUAGGCAAAUGCAAUGAAAACCUGAUGCUCAACAUAAGAAGAAUGUCUCGUCUACAAAAGGAUCUGAUAAUCUUCCUCUGCACAGAGAAAUGGUUCAGGGAUUGCACGCGUUGCAGAUGAACCUUCAAAAAAUUUGUCCAAUGAUGGAGUUAAAGUCUUCAAGCCUACUGCAGAACCUGAGACAAGCGUGCUGUACUCAAUGCUGCAGAGGUAUGUAAGAAUGAUGCGAGAAGGAAGAAGCAAACCUGGGAAAUCUACCAGCAGGGGUCUUAAUCGACAAGCUUAUUGAUAGAGAAGUAUUUUCUCAGGCAACUGACAGUGUGCUGGACACUAGUCCCACUAGUUGGUUUGUGACGGUGUGCUGGCACCAAUGGUAAUGUACAUCCAGCGCCAUGGAAGGUAUCAGCGUCCUCCCAAAGAUCAACAGUGUUGGCUAGACAGUAAUGGAACAGCUAAUCCCACCAGUGAAGGUCAAUCUGCUGACUUGAUUGAUUCUACCAUGAAAAACAAAAAAGAUCUAUUCCCAUUGAGGAACAAGAGAGAACAGGUAAACAAAAGAAAGGGAGACUGAAGGCCGGGAUGGUUACUUGACAGAACACCAUACAGACAAAGAAAAAAAAAUUGUACUCGCGGUUAGUAGAUAAAAUUCGUUGUGUGGGUCAUGAGAGGCCAGGUUUAUGCGCCUUGGUUGGUUGGUAACGAAUGUAAUUAGGGAUGCCAGGUAUGGCGUCAAGCUUCACCGAAUUGUAUUUGGGUCUUGUUUUGACUGACAUUUCUAAACUCUUUGAAUAAAUACUCAUUGUUCGCUCGAUCGUUGGGGAGGCCAGGCCCCUGCUCGCCCCCUUGUCUCUGCCACUGUUGGUGGGCAGGCUACCUCGCAUGUUUAGACCGUCACCAAGCUGUGUGGAUCUGUCAUCACCAGAACGCGGAUCCAUCCCCUCACCAGAUGUGGACAUGGGUUGGCGCAAGAUCUUCUAACCAAAAUUUUCAUCUCCUUUGAUGGUGGGAGACAGCACAAGGAACAGGAGGUCAUCAUGCAGCAAUUAUCAAAGAAAUUCAUGCUAGGGUAGUGCAGUUAUUUGAAGCUUAAGUUUAUUUAUGAAAGUAUAAGUAGAAAUUUGGCAGACAUGUUUGGCUGCUUCAGCCACAUGACAUUGUAAGUGUCCGUUGGGAUAUUGAUAUUCAAUAAUAAAGAGCCUAGUAGGGGUGUUGUGAGCGGUGAUAC